rnacentral:lncRNA from 10 species
UUUGGAGAUGAUGAAAAUGCUCUAAAAUUGUGGUGAUGGUUGCACAACUCUGUGAAUAUAAUAAAAUCCACUGAAUUGUAUAUUUUAAACAAGUGAAUAAUAUGGUAUAUGAAUUUAAAAAUAAUGUAGGUAAAGGGCUUAGCCAAUGCCUGGCACAAAACAAAUGCUUUAUAAAUGUUAAUUUUUGUCAUUACUACUUUGAGGCAGAGACUAUCUGGUUCACCAAACUCAUUUCCUCUUCUCCUAGAGCACAAAACUAGACUCUACCCUAAAAAUUAGGUGUGGCCAUGUGUCUGAGUCUGGGCCAAGGGAAUGUGAGUUCUGGCCAAUGUAAGGGAACAAGCUUGGCCCAUAAAAAUAAUCCCCUCACAAGCCUUCAUGUUAUUUCCCUUCUACUAGCUUGAUGCAAUGAAUCUUUUGGCUUCAGAGCUACAUGUUGAAGAUGAAGGAGCCAUAGUGUGGAAAAGCCAAAGUUCCUGAAUCACUGACCAGGGGAGAGUUGCCCAUUAGCCAAGAAGACCGGCUUUAGACUUUCUGAGAAAAGGGUUUGCUGUCAAAAGGAAAAGCUCUGAGUCAUUCUUUAGAAAAGGUGAAGAGAGGAUAUGCAACCACAAGCCAAAGGUGACAGAUCGGAAAGGGACCAAUCACUGGGAGCAGGGUUUCUCGGGUUUGUGAGCCCCUUCCCUCAUGCAAUUGUGUCAAAUUGGGCCAAAAAUGCCUUCUGUAUCUUUCUCACAGAGGAGUGCUGUAAAACCCAAAGGGCAUGUAAAAUGAAGUACAGUCAGAUCUUAUAAAAAUAGCUAUUGAUUCCUGAGUGUUUACUGUGAAGCCCUCUUACAUAGCUUGUUUAAUCUUCUUGACAAGCUUAAUACAUAAGUAUUAUUGGUCCACUUGAGAGCUAUUGAAACUGAGGCUCAGAGGUUAAGCAAAGCCGUGUCCCCAGGAUCACACAGGUAGUAAGCAACAGAGCUGGGACUCUAACUAAAUCUCUCACCACCAUGCCCUUCAAGGACUUCAAACAAAUGAAAAGCAUUAGCAAGGUAAAUGGCUCUUCUGCUGGAGAAUCUAGAAAGUCCAAAGCCAAAAUGUCUACCCUUGCGUGGAAAGAACAUCCUACAGGGCUGCCUGUGUUCAGCAUAUUAAGUGCCUAAGAGAAUAAUGAAACAGAUAAGAAAAGGGAAGAACAAAGGCCAUUGUCCCCGGCCCUGGAGACUAGCCUGCCUGAACAUGAUUCACAGUCAUUCAUGGACUCAGACCUCAUAGAUUUUGAAUAUCAGAUCAUUGCAGAUAGAAAUGUGAACUUCCAGAUAGCAACCAUAUCUUCUUGCUGAAAAUAGCUUCCCUCCCCCCAGCACAAAGUCAUAAAGAAAGAAAAAAGAAUCUUAAUUUCCUUCUGCUUCCUGUUUGCCAGACUGUUCCUUUCUUCCUUCAACCUCACGGUCCCAUUGUUUCUCUUAUUUCUUCCUAGUAUGCUCUAUUUAAACCAGAUGGAGCAGUAGCAUUUUGAAGCGAUUUUUGAACCCAAGGGACUCGCGUCAUAAAUAAAUAAAACAAAUGAACACUUUAGCAAUUGGCAAAUCAGGCAGGAAUGGGUUUAACAACGGAGCUGGAAAUGUAGCUGAAAAUCUACUCCACGAUGAAAGAUCGGAAUGUGGCACAAGUUCUUUUCACCGAAUAGGUAACCACACUGACUUCUUUCAGUAAACUGGGGGCUAAAGAGAGACGCAGUGGGAAGGCAGUGGCAAAGAGCUUCAGAGACACAUUCAGUGGCCCCGUCUACUUUGCAUUACCAAUAUGCUGAUACAUUAUCCCAUGGUUGCUACGAAAUAUUUGUUCACCACCUAUAAAAGUAAGGCAUUUUCAAGAGCUGGUUUUCUUUAAAUACAUUCUCUUUCCUUUAAGUCUUACAUAAUUCAACUAUCAUUCCAUGUGAGGCUUAAUUUAAAGAAAACCAUAAGUUGAGUUAAUUCACUGUGAAGGGUUAUGGAAGCUAUAUUUAUUCCAGAGAGUCAGCAGCAGUGUAAUGGAGCAUCUAUUAUAUGCCUGACCUAGUGCCAGGUUCUGGGAAUACAAACAUGAAUAGCCCAGCCCCUGCCCUUAAGACGUUCACAGAACUGGGAGGAUUCACAAACUAAGUGAAAGUGAAAGGCCUGUUACCGCUAUUAAGAUAGAAGAAAAUAUAUGAGGUGCUUAGCGAUCACCUCUAAUGAGGGAGAAAUUAUGUGUGGGGAGGGGAAGAGGAUAGAGUUUGUGAUUCAGUAAAAGAGUCCUAGCUGGGUGCAGUGGCUCACGCCUCUAAUCCCAGCACUUUGGGAGGCCGAGGUGGGUGGAUCACCUGACGUCAGGAGCUCGAGACCUGUCUAAGAUGUUGAAACCCUGUCUCUACUAAAAAUACCAAAAUUAGCUAGGCAUGGUGGUGGGUGCCUGUAAUCCCAGCUACUUGGGAGGCUGAGGCAGGAGAAUCACUUAAACCUGGGAGGUGGAGGUUGCAGUGAGCCGAGAUGGUGCCACUGCACUCCAGCCUGGGUGACAGAGUGAGACUCCAUCUCAAAAAAAGAAAAUCCUCAAAAAAAGAAAAUCCCCUGUCUGUCUACCUAGAAGGCCUAAGAAGCUGUUAACCAAGGGAGAAGAGGUUGAGAUGAUGGUCUGGGCAGAGAGCACAGGAGGAAUUGGGACAGGCUCCACCGUGAUGUGAAACAACCUGAAGGUUAUGGUCACUGUAGACAUUUGAACCCAGCUGGAAAACAGACUGAGGAGAGAAAUGAGAGGCAGGCUUGGGAGUCACGGGGUGGAUCAUUCUCUGUCAUGUGGGUCAGGGGACUCCAUCCCAUAGGCCAUGGGAGCCUCUGUAAGACUUUAAACAGCAGAGUGAACAUGAUCUGAUUUGCACUUUAGAAAAUCACCUUGGCAACCAGGUGGAGGAUGGACUGGAGGUGUUGAGGCUGGGAGCAUAGAGAACAGUUAGGAGGCAAUGGCAGCAGUCCAGGUAGGAGGGAUAGGGCCUGAUCUUAGAUGGCAGCAGUGGGAAUGUAAAGAAAAGAAGGGAGAACUAAUAUUAGGAAGGAGAAAAUCUGGGCUGGAGGUAAUGAAAUCUAGAUUCUAAUCCUAGCUUUGGCACAAUCUCUUAACGUGACCUUAGAUAAGCUCUUCCUUUUCUGGACCCUGUUUCCCAACGUGGCAGGUGAGAGGGCGACAUUUUGUGGCUAUAUGAGAAUGCACUUUAUAUAUGUACUUGGUUAUUAUUAUUUACUCAUUAGGUAAGCCAGCCAGUCAGUCAGUCAGUAAAGGCACUCAUUCCUUGAGUCACAGUUUUGGGCAUCUUGAUAUGAAAAAGCAAAAUGGUAGUACAAAAAAAUCCAACCAAGGGAAUGAGGAGACUUGAAGUCCAUAAGCAUUUACUGAUGAUACAUUAAGUACAAAAUGUACAUCAUAAUCUACUAUAGAUAUAAUGGAAACAGAAAUGACCAAGAUGUGUUCUCUACCUUCCGAGAGGGAAAUGAGGCAGCCUAUGAUUAAUUCAAUUAAACAAAUAUUGAGUAAAUGACUAUGUGCAGAGUAUUGGGUCUGUCAUAGUAAGGAAACAGAGAAAUAGGACAUGGUCCCUAACAUGAAGGACUUCGUAGUCACAAAUGGAAGAAAAGUGAUACUGCUAUUGGAGAGUUGCAAAGCACUAUGGGAGCCCAAGACAAAAGAGAAUAUGUACCAAGUCAAAAAUCCAUUUUUAAUUUUCGCCAUAGUAAACAGAAAUAUAAUUUCCCUUUCUGUGGUUCAAUGCUGCUAAAAGCACCUUCAGAAAAGCAGAUGAAAGAAGAGAUCAUUCAUUUUACUCUAAACAAAAAUUUUUCUGUGGGUGAGGUCCUAUACUAGGUGUUCAACGUAAGAAUAACA